rnacentral:lncRNA from 1 species
UUCAAUGUGCCAAGGUCUGUACUCUACAAGUUGAACACCGAGAUGCACAAGGAAGGGAGCAGUGACACGACAUACUCUACCCUCAGAUCUAGCACAACAAAAUUACAACAAUCAUGUAAAAUUAUAAUGCUAUCUUACACAUCCUUUUGUUACUGCAUCAGGCCUCAGCAGCAAUUUUACACCUAUCACACAGCUAGACCAGCAGAGAAGAAAGAGUCUUAUUGCAUCUGUACACAAAUACCAGUGCGUAGCGGCAGCUGAGCAGCGAAUGCACUGCUCGAGUGCUAUAAUGGAAAUUUCCAGGUCCAAUUCCAGUUCCAAUUCGACUGUGUCGAACUAGCUAAUUCCAUCACUUCACUUGCACUACUAUGAUGGGAGGAUCACUCUUCUGUUCUCCUCAUUGCAGAUCGUAGACGUUGGUGUCCGCGGCGUAGCAGCCAAGAACUCGGACGAACACGGCGAAUUUCUCGAUCUCCUUGAUGGCCUCGCGGACGAGCGGGUCGUCGGCGGCGCCCUCGCAGUCCACGUAGAGGACGUGCGGGAACGCGCGCAAC